rnacentral:rRNA from 1 species
GAUGAACGCUAGCUACAGGCUUAACACAUGCAAGUCGAGGGGAAACGGCAUUGAGCGCUUGCACUCUUUGGACGUCGACCGGCGCACGGGUGAGUAACGCGUAUCCAACCUUCCCAUUACUGUGGGAUAACCUGCCGAAAGGCAGACUAAUACCGCAUAGUCUUCGAUGACGGCAUCAGAUUUGAAGUAAAGAUUUAUCGGUAAUGGAUGGGGAUGCGUCUGAUUAGCUUGUUGGCGGGGUAACGGCCCACCAAGGCGACGAUCAGUAGGGGUUCUGAGAGGAAGGUCCCCCACAUUGGAACUGAGACACGGUCCAAACUCCUACGGGAGGCAGCAGUGAGGAAUAUUGGUCAAUGGACGUAAGUCUGAACCAGCCAAGUAGCGUGCAGGAUGACGGCCCUAUGGGUUGUAAACUGCUUUUGUAUGGGGAUAAAGUUAGGGACGUGUCCCUAUUUGCAGGUACCAUACGAAUAAGGACCGGCUAAUUCCGUGCCAGCAGCCGCGGUGAUACGGAAGGUCCAGGCGUUAUCCGGAUUUAUUGGGUUUAAAGGGAGCGUAGGCUGGAGAUUAAGUGUGUUGUGAAAUGUAGACGCUCAACGUCUGACUUGCAGCGCAUACUGGUUUCCUUGAGUACGCACAACGUUGGCGGAAUUCGUCGUGUAGCGGUGAAAUGCUUAGAUAUGACGAAGAACUCCGAUUGCGAAGGCAGCUGACGGGAGCGCAACUGACGCUUAAGCUCGAAGGUGCGGGUAUCAAACAGG